CGUUAGUCCUGUAAGUUUCGCGGAAAGAGGAACGACUGGGAAUGAUUUCAUAUAUAAUAGAUAGUCUAUGGCUUGGCAAUAGCUACCAGGAAUAGUAGAAGUCUAUGGUUGACUGCUUGCCAAGACUAGAAAUGGUGGCGAGGCGAGUGUUCCGGAGUGCGUUACGCUGUUCUUUUUGUCGUAUUUUUGGCAGGUUCAUGUAUUACGUUUGUGAAUAAUUGUGCAAAACAAUGCCGAGAACUAAGUCUAGGCGAAUUUCUGUGAUGUCAACGUAAAAAUCCAAGUCUCUCAACGGCGGAUAAAGUUUUAUCAGGUCAUCAGUGUUGUCCUAUGAGUAAAAUUUUUGAAUAUUGUCAAAAUGGCAGCAGAAUACAGUAGAAACGUAUUAAGAGUAGUGGUGGCUCAAAUAUGCCAAACGAUCGGAUGGCACUCAAUAAAUUCUACGCCGCUGGAAUUCUUGGUCGAUCUCAUGCAAGAGUACCUAACGAGGACAUCUAAAUUGACUCACCAAUAUGCCGAAGUCUUGGGAAAAACGGAACCGAACCUCGAUGAUCUUGGAUUAGCCUUUCAGCACAUGAAUAUAGACAUUCAAGAACUAGCAGAAUACGUUAAAAAUGUUGAUUCAGUCCCAUGUGCCAUCGAGGUACCUAAAUUUCCUGUACCUCGCGAAAGUCAUAUGAAUUUUUUGAAGCCAGGAAGCAGAGAGGUCGUUACUAGGCCUGUUCAUGUUCACGAACACUUGCCAGCUAUGUACCCUGACACAGAAGAUGAAUAUCCUCCAACUAAAUCUGAAAACCCAUCUGAAACAACUCCAGAAGUAACGCCUUUAAACGGCUCUCCACCUGACGGAUCGGCGAACAUAUCGCCACAAAGUACGUCGCCACAAGUGGUUUUCAAACGCCCUGGAGAUCCAGUGUCUCUUGAAAGUCCAAUAGCUAAGCGACCAAGAGUAGUCGAGGAAGGUAGACCACUGCGUGAGAUUCAUAGUGUGAUGAUGACUACUUCAGGGUUUUUGUCCCCUGCCAGGGAGGGGAAACUUCCCGAAGCUCGAACACCUCAACAAGCUCGAUCAGACUCUCCGUCGCCAAGCUCGUAUCCAAUGGUUCCCCCUGAAUUGAAUUCCGACAAAAAGCCAAAGAAAAUUGUGAAUAAAAAGAAUGGAGAAGAUAGGAAACUUGAUAAAGAAAAUAAGAAGAAGGACAGAGCGAAGGAGCUCUUUAAACCAGAUAAAAUUGAUGAUAGUAAAGUUAAAAAAUUAGCUGGCAUGAAGGAACUUGCCAAAUUGAAAGCCCUAAAGCCAGGUGGUGGCAAGAGCCAAACAGGGAUAGCUGGUCCUUCAGCAAGGCCUUCAACACCUAAACUUUCACCUCCAAAACCUGCCGGGAGUCCGAAGCCUCCUAAAGUAGUGCAGCCAAAAAUGAAGCUAGAAAAAUCUGAACCAACGAACAGUAGUUUGGUGCAAGAAAGGAAAGAAGAGAAGGUAGACAAGUUACCGUCCGAGCCCGACAAACAGAAGCUCAACAUUUUCAAGAAAAUCUCAAAGCCCCGGGACGAUAAAGAAAAGGAUACUCCAGAGAAUAAACACAAGGAUUUGGACUCGCGUGAAAGUUCGCCAGGUUUGAUAAUCGACGAGAAUAUCGAGAAGCUGAACAGAAAAAUUGACUCAGAGGCGAAAACUGAGGAGAAGAAGACACCCCAUACACCCGAUGUACAUGUACAACCUGAUUCCGGGGAUCCAACUGGUCUUCAAAGCCCAUCCUCUGACAUCUACAUGUUCGAUGAUAUGUCGCCACCAGGCACUCCUAGUACGCCUAAAACUCCAGAACUUAACGUACCUGUGGUUAUAGAUCAGAAAAAGAAACGGAAAGAGAAAGGAAAAAAGAAGGAAACCAAAUUAAAAAGUCCCAAGCAAUGCAUUAGUCCCAAAAAGAUCAAAAUGUCAAACGAUUUGGUGGAGCCGGAUACACCGGAGAGGCCAAAGACUCCGCAGGCACCAGAACCGCCACUUAGAGAAUUAGGACUGCCUCCGACAAUGCCGUUUCCAUUCUUUCCAACUUUUCCACCAGCUCCUGGUCUCAUUCCGCCUCCCAUUGGUCACCCAUUGUUUCCAAGGUUUCCUCUUCCACUGAGCAGAGGGGUGCCGCAUCCUGCAAUGCCUAAUUUACCAUUGCCCCCAAGAUUCGUUGGACUGAACACUAAAGUAGACGACUUUCCACCUCCAAAAUCUAAGCCUUCUGAACGGGAGAAACCGCUUCCUAUACCAGCGGUGCCCAGCUUACCUAUCCCACCAGCAAAGCCCGAAAAAGUGGAAAAAGAGAAACCCGAGAAGAUCCCAAAAAUCUCUAAACAUGACAAGGAGUUUGUGGCGCAACCCAUCACCCCAACCUUGCAACCUUCGAAUUUAGUUUUACCAGUAAUAAAUAAUAAUUUUGUGACCAAUUCCUCUUUGCUCACACCAAAGAGCCCGAAAGUUGAUAAAAUUGACAAGAAAUUGAAAGAGCACAAAAAAGAGAAGAAAGAUAAGCUGAAAAAGAAGAAAGAGAAGAAGGAAAAACAUAAAGAGAAGGGAGAAAAAAAUAAGGAGAAAAAAGAAAAGGGCGAGAAAAAGGAAAAAGCUGAGAAGAUUAAGGAAAAGCGAGAAAAGAAAGAAAAACGCAAAGACAAAGACAAAGAGGAUAAAGCCGAAGGUGUGCCUAAAAUCACGUUGAAACUUGGUCCAGCGUCUCCUAGACCACCAACACCUGAUACGACACCUUUGACGAAAAUAACGAUAAAACCACUGCUUAAGAAACCUGACGACGAAGUUAAACGCGAGCCGAGUCCUGAAUUGGCUAAGAUAUCAGCGUUAAUAACUAGGCCACCGAAGCAGAAGUCAACAAAAAGACCCGCAUUUGCACAGUGCACAAGGAAAACUGCAGAAAACCUUGUCCGGGUGCAGCCGGACCAAGUUCAAAUUGUAGCUCGCUGAUUCGGCGUCUGAACGAGAGGAGCUGUCUUACAAUUUUUUGCAAAUUGCCACUUCGGUCCUCCUCAAGAGGCUGGGCUCGCACGCUACGCUACUACAUUUUUCAAAACGUACGGAUUCCAUUACUCUACGAGUUUUACAGGAUCAAGAGGGAAGACAAGUAUGGAUAUGUCCUGCUUGUG
rnacentral:misc_RNA from 1 species